rnacentral:misc_RNA from 1 species
GGGGGGGUCACUGUUGGGCCAGGGCUCCUUCAGCUUCUCAGGCCUCAUGUCCGUCUGCGGGACGCUGACUUUGUCCACAAACUUGCCAAAUCCAAUAGUGUAGUCGCUGGUGAGCUGGCUCAGGACCCGAGCCAGGUUCUGCCCCAUCUUCUUGAGGUUGUCCAGAUCAUCGGACAUGGAGUUGGAGAAGUCCAUGAGGAUGUACAGGUCCACGGGGCUCUCC